rnacentral:rRNA from 1 species
GUCGUAACAAGGUUUCCGUAGGUGAACCUGCGGAAGGAUCAUUAACGAAUUUUAGGACGUUCUUUUUAGAAGUCCGACCCUUUCAUUUUCUUACACUGUGCACACACUUCUUUUUUACACACACUUUUAACACCUUAGUAUAAGAAUGUAAUAGUCUCUUAAUUGAGCAUAAAUAAAAACAAAACUUUCAGCAACGGAUCUCUUGGCUCUCGCAUCGAUGAAGAACGCAGCGAAUUGCGAUAAGUAAUGUGAAUUGCAGAAUUCAGUGAAUCAUCGAAUCUUUGAACGCACCUUGCACUCUUUGGUAUUCCGAAGAGUAUGUCUGUUUGAGUGUCAUGAAGCUCUCAACCCCCCUAUUUUGUAAUGAGAUGGGUGUGGGCUUGGAUUAUGGUUGUCUGUCGGCGUAAUUGCCGGCUCAACUGAAAUACACGAGCAACCCUAUUGAAAUAAACGGUUUGACUUGGCGUAAUAAUUAUUUCGCUAAGGACGUUUUCUUCAAAUAUAAGAGGUGCUUCUAAUUCGCUUCUAAUAGCAUUUAAGCUUUAGACCUCAAAUCAGUCAGGACUACCCGCUGAACUUAAGCAUAUCAAUAGUCG